rnacentral:rRNA from 1 species
GCAAGUCGAACGGAACUUAUUUUUCUAGAGAUGCGAUUACAUCAAGUCAAAAGUCGUUUAAGUUUAGUGGCGAACGAGGUAGUACAAAAUAGGAACAAACCCCUUAGUCGUGAAUAGCCUGCCGAAAGGCAGAGUAAUACACGAUGGUCUCGCAAGAGUGAAGUUUUAACGCUAAGGGAUUGGCCUGUUCGAUAUCAGCUAGUUGGCGAGGUAAAGGCUCACCAAGGCUAUGACGUCUAGGGGCGCUGAGAGGCGGACC